rnacentral:rRNA from 1 species
AAUAGAUACCCCGGUAGUCCACGCCGUAAACGAUGGAUGCUAGCCGUCGGCAAGCUUCGCUUGUCGGUGGCGCAGCUAACGCAUUAAGCAUCCCGCCUGGGGAGUACGGCCGCAAGGUUAAACUCAAAGGAAUUGACGGGGCCCGCACAAGCGGUGGAGCAUGUGGUUUAAUUCGACGCAACGCGAAGAACCUUACCAAGCCUUGACAUGUCCGGACCGAUCCCUGAAAGGGGAUUUUCCCAGCAAUGGGCCGGAACACAGGUGCUGCAUGGCUGUCGUCAGCUCGUGUCGUGAGAUGUCGGGUUAAGUCCCUUAACGAGCGAAACCCUUGUCUCUAGUUGCCAGCGCGUUAUGGCGGGGACUCUAGAGAGACCGCCGGCGUUAAGCCGGAGGAAGGUGGGGAUGACGUCAAGUCCUCAUGGCCUUUAUGACUAGGGCUGCACACGUCCUACAAUGCCGCGCACAAAGGGGAAGCAAAACCGCGAGGUCGAGCAAAUCCCAGAAAAACGCGGCCCAGUUCGGAAUUGCAGGCUGCAACUCG